UAUGCGUGUGACUAUACAAUGACUAAAAAAGCAUGCACAUUAGUUAUACGUCAGAUUAUGCAAGAAUAUAUAUAUGAGAAAUUAACAUGUUUCAAGCGUAUACAUGAUACAUAUAUGGUAUGUUCUUUGUUGUCGCAGAUGCAUUCCUCUUGAUACUUUAUGUGUUUGAACAUGGAUUCUUAGUUCCCACUAAUGUAUAGGCUAUACUUAUGUACUGAACUUUGGUUAUCGGGUUGUAGCAUAUUCUGGCAGCUAUAUUUGUGUGGGAAGAGACAACAGCAAAAGGCUGUACAAAAUGCUGACACCUCUAUUUGUGUGGGAAGAGACAAAGGUAAAAGAUAAAAGAGUACCAAAUGAGCCAAAUACAAGGUGAAGUGGAGACAUACCUUAGCUUGGACACUGUCUGCAAGGAAACCACAUAACAAUUGCAUGGAGAGCGGACACCCCUAGGAAUUUCAAACCACGAGCCGAAGUUGAGG